GGUGGGGUGGCGGAGCGGUUGAACGCGCCGGUCUUGAAAACCGGUAUACCCUUCGGGGUAUCGCGGGUUCGAAUCCCGCCCCCACCG
rnacentral:tRNA from 1 species